rnacentral:rRNA from 1 species
AGUGAACGCUGGCGGUAGGCCUAACACAUGCAAGUCGAACGGCAGCACAGUAAGAGCUUGCUCUUACGGGUGGCGAGUGGCGGACGGGUGAGGAAUACAUCGGAAUCUACUUUUUCGUGGGGGAUAAUGUAGGGAAACUUACGCUAAUACCGCAUACGACCUACGGGUGAAAGCAGGGGAUCUUCUGACCUUGCGCGAUUGAAUGAGCCGAUGUCGGCUUAGCUAGUUGGCGGGGUAAAGGCCCACCAAGGCGACGAUCCGUAGCUGGUCUGAGAGGAUGAUCGGCGACACUGGAACUGAGACACGGUCCAGACUCCUACGGGAGGCAGCAGUGGGGAAUAGUGGACAAUGGGGGCAAGCCUGAUCCAGCCAUACCGCGUGGGUGAAGAAGGCCUUCGGGUUGUAAAGACCUUUUGUUGGGAAAGAAAAGCAGCAGGUUAAUACCCCGCUGUUCUGACGGUACCCAAAGAAUAAGCACCGGCUAACUUCGUG